rnacentral:tRNA from 1 species
CGGGAUGUAGCGCAGCCAGGUAGCGCGCGUCGUUCGGGACGACGAGGUCGAGAGUUCGAGUCUCUCCAUCCCGACAA